GACGAACGCUGGCGGCGUGCUUAACACAUGCAAGUCGAACGGUGAAGCGCCUUCCUUUUUGGUGGGUGUGGAUGAGUGGCGAACGGGUGAGUAACACGUGAGUAACCUGCCCCCUUCUUCUGGAUAACCGCAUGAAAGUGUGGCUAAUACGGGAUAUUCUGGGUCUGUCGCAUGAUGGGUCUGGGAAAGAUAUUGUUUCGGUGGGGGAUGGGCUCGCGGCCUAUCAGCUUGUUGGUGGGGUGAUGGCCUACCAAGGCGGUGACGGGUAGCCGGCCUGAGAGGGUGGACGGUCACACGGGGACGGAGACACGGCCCAGACUCCUACGGGAGGCAGCAGUGGGGAAUAUUGCACAAUGGGCGCAAGCCUGAUGCAGCGACGCCGCGUGAGGGAUGGAGGCCUUCGGGUUGUGAACCUCUUUCGCCAGUGAAGCAGGCCUGCCUCGUUUGUGGGUGGGUUGACGGUAGCUGGAUAAGAAGCGCCGGCUAACUACGUG
rnacentral:rRNA from 1 species